CCCCGCGCACUCGGUCGACGAGCGGAGCUGAGCCAGGGCUUCUGCGGACUCCGUGACCUGUAGCUGAAUGGCAGGCAGGCCUGCCCCCGGCGCAGGCCCCGGGUCGCCGGGUGCCGCGGGCGCCGGCGUCGCGCGACGCCGCCCGACCGCACCGCUGGCCGCGCCGCUGCCGAUCCUCCCCAGGAGAUUCGACCACGUAACGCGCACCUUCUUCACUUUAUUAUUUUUUAUGGGAUUAUGACAAAUUUGUAGCGGCAUUCGAAAAUCAUGUCGUGGCAUUCCAUUAAUUGACUUUACCUACUAUAGUUUAAGAUGUGUUACACGUUCACCAAUUUUGCAAGACAAUUCCAAUACUUUUCCGUACAUUGGGAUUCAUUUUCCGAUACUUUUCCACAGAGAGUGGGAGAACAUUUUCUAUGCUUGUCCUAGCGAUUGUAAGUUAAGUUAAAUUUUCAAAUAAGUUUUUGUUUUUGUCAGCCAAGUCAGCAACUCCAUUUGGUUAAGAGUGUUUGAAUUUUUCAUUAGAUAAUAUAAGGUUUUUUACUCUUUUUAUAAAUUUUGUAUACUUUUCACUUUUUUUUUCAAUAAAAAUGUUCUUUAACUUUA